CCAGAGAACUUAGCAGAGAUGCUUUGGUGCCUUCGGGAACUCUGAGACAGGUGCUGCAUGGCUGUCGUCAGCUCGUGUUGUGAAAUGUUGGGUUAAGUCCCGCAACGAGCGCAACCCUUAUCCUUUGUUGCCAGCGGCUCGGCCGGGAACUCAAAGGAGACUGCCGGUGAUAAACCGGAGGAAGGUGGGGAUGACGUCAAGUCAUCAUGGCCCUUACGGCCAGGGCUACACACGUGCUACAAUGACGCAUACAAAGAGAAGCGACCUCGCGAGAGCAAGCGGACCUCACAAAGUGCGUCGUAGUCCGGAUUGGAGUCUGCAACUCGACUCCAUGAAGUCGGAAUCGCUAGUAAUCGUAGAUCAGAAUGCUACGGUGAAUACGUUCCCGGGCCUUGUACACACCGCCCGUCACACCAUGGGAGUGGGUUGCAAAAGAAGUAGGUAGCUUAACCUUCGGGAGGGCGCUUACCACUUUGUGAUUCAUGACUGGGGUGAAGUCGUAACAAGGUAAGCGUAGCGAG
rnacentral:rRNA from 1 species